UCUCGAAGUAAUUUUCUGAUUAAAACCCAAGCUCUUGUGCUGUAUGAGAAAUUGGAGGUAUAGGUGGUGCUGGUAAUUUGUUGAAUUAGUAGAAUUUGGAAGUGAUUCUUGAAAACAUUAGAACUUACUAAAUUAGUUCAUGCUGUGUUAGACUUGAUUGGAUUAGUUCAUGCUUUGCUUAAUUGUAAUUGGUGGUGCUGGUGGAGGUAUAAGUGGUGGGGAAUGGUUGAAUUGGUGGAUUAGGAAGUGGGGGUAGUGUUAAAAGAAGUUCAGCAGAUUCCUAUGGUCCCGAAGACAAGUUUUCAUCGUAUACGGGAAGGAUGCGUAGGAGAAAAAAAAGAAGAAAACCGAAUUUAUUGAUUUGAUCUUGGUUUUGUUUUGUUGACGGAAUUUUCAAUGAGUGUUUUUGACGAAUGGGUGGUGGUCAGGUGGUGUGGUAUCUUAAGGGUAUUUUCGAUAUUUGAAAUACUGACCUGGCAAAUACCUGGCUAGAAGCGGCAUAUGCGGUGACACGUGUGAAACUUAAUAGGGUCAACAACAUUUCCUCUCGAGAAUGUCCUACAAACUGGGCUGGGCUUGGGUAACCCAGCGAAUCUAUUUUCCUUCUCUUCAAAACCUCAGAAGCGGCGGGAAUUCAAAUAUAAGAGAGGGGUUACAAUUCCAUUUAUUUAGUCUCUUAUUUAUUUAGUCUCUUCUCUUCCACAGAAGAACUCUACAUUCCAGAAACUUUCAUCUCUUUUAUUCCGACAGAAUAACUCUACGUUCCAUAAACUUACAGUAUCAGAUUUUCAUCAGUUCAGUUCAGAAUGAAGGUUUAUGUGAAAUUAAUAAGUGGAAGGAUCAUUAUUUUGCAAAACUACUCAAUUGAACAAAAUCUAAAGCUACAAGACAAGUUCGGCAGUCCACCGGGAAGUAGUUCAGAAUGCUUGCUAUCAAAAGAGUUAUUGAUUGUUAACAAACUCAAAUUCAUAGUUGAUCUGAAGAUUCAAAGAAUUUUAAACUUAAGAGAACGGACGAAGGUUUACGAGAGUUUAAGCAUCGCCUUCCAGAUUUGAAACAUACCCGUCUUACCUUUCAACAAAAACAAAAGGAGAAGUCGUUGUUGAUGUGGGAAAUUACAAGAACUGGUAUCACGGCUAAAGAGUUUAGAUCAAAUGCAGAUCUAUUAGAAAAUAAUACACAAAUCAAGGCUCUAGUGAAGGAGAUUGAUCGUCUUGAUCAACUAAUGAGAUACAAGACUGCUAUGCUGAAUUGUUUCAACGAACGGUUUAUAACCUUGAUCUCUGAAUUAGAUGUGAUUGAUCAGAAAAUCAAAAAUACUAAUUACAUUUUGAAAAGUGGUAAAAUGGUAACACCAGUCCAGGCUGGCACUGAUGGAUUUGGGUAUGGAAAGGUCGAGAAGAUGUCGGUUUCUCGAAUGUCCUUAGAGAAAGAAUUCAGUGCUUUUGCAGCAUCCAAGGGGUUCAGUCAAUGCAAGGGCCAAGGAUCCAGGUGAUAUAAAAGCUUCAAUUAAACGAGCAGCAGCUAAAAGAUUUGCCGAGGAUGCAAUUGCCAGGUCUUCAAGGGUAGGCUCAAGUAGCAGCUGCGGUAUGCAAACUUUGUUGGAUAAAUUGGAGGGUUGGAAAGUGGCAAUAGAGGAGGGAAACUGGCUCAGGCAUUAUGAACGAGAAGAAAAUUGUUAUAACGCUGGAAAAGUAGCAGAGCAUCAUCUAGAACGCGCCAAAAAAGCGUGGGUACUGGUCAGCAAACUACCAUAAUUUGAAAGCCGAAGUACAAGAUUGGGAAGGAUUUAAGAACGUGCAGAUAAUGUUUAACAACGGAACGUCAGAAGUUUCUAUAUUGGAGGAGUUGUGUGCGUAUACAGACUCUCGUAAAAAGCGAGAAGCGGAGGAGCAGAGAACUGGGGUGAACAAGCGGUUGAAAUUACGUGUUGUAGAAGGAGAGACACUUUACGCAUCCAAGAUUGAUAUGCCGCCUUCUCUACCGGAGGAUGCCACACUAGCUGCUCCUGAAACUUCAGCUGCUGUUUCUCCCCUCCCAAAAUGAUCAAUUAUCUCCUUGAUUCUUUUGUUUUUCUGGAUGGACACAGACAUCUACUGGAGGGUAGUAUUACGAAGCCUCAUCUAUAGUUGGUAUUAAUGUAGUAGGAAUUUCUGUUGGUAUAUAUGUAUGUCUAUGAACUCGCUCUUUACUGGUGUCAAAAUGUCUCGCAUGUACACUUAUACAGAGCAGGUACUAUAAGCAUUGAUUAGAAAAACGUGCUGAGAUAAAGAACU